AUUGGCUGAUAUUGUGAGUACGUAUUUACCUCAUCCUCGUGGACGGGUCUCAAGUGGAAGGGUACUAGGACGUUCAAGGGUUCUUGUUAUUGCUUUAGGGGUUGAAGCUUUUUGCAGAAGAUAGGAUCACAACGAAUCUCCCUGUUGAACUAUGUUUUGCUUGAAGAUUGUCAACAAGUUUCAUGGAGUUUUUUGGGGUAUUCUAAAGCUUCUAAGGCCUUUUGUGAACCCAAGAUUGUAGUGUUUUUUUGUCCAUAAGGUAAAGUCUCCAUUCCUAUCAAAUUUCUCAAUUUCGUACUUCGUAGUAGUCAUUUUUUUUUCUUUCCUUUUGAUGGCUUUGAUACCAGUUCUCAAGAAAAAGUAGUUUCUUUGUAUUUUGAAAAUAGUAAUCUUGGGAUAUGUGUAAAAAGGUAAAUCAAUAAAUGCAGAAAUGACCUUUUUAUUUUUUUUCUUCCUUUCUCUUACCUUUUCAUAUUUUCCUGCGAGCUAUCAUUGUUGGAAUUUAUGUUUUAAAACUUGUAGUUUGUAGUUUAAAUUACAUUAUAUUCAAUAAAGUAGUUAUUGAUGACAUAUUAGUGAAAAUAGUAUACUAUAAUCUUGAAUCCAAUAAACUAAGGUUCUGAGACUAUCUAGUGUAGACUUGAGCUUUAUGUAGAGACAUAAAUGUGGAUUAAAUUAUCCUUAGAUUUGUAGAGGUGAGGGCAGCUCAACGGCGUUGGCACAAUAAGCCUCCAAUUUUAGUGGUAAGACUGGGUGGAUGGCUAGGGACAUCGAAUGCAAGACGGAAUUCAGUCCUACCUGUUUUAGGGUUAGUAGAUAGGUUGUUCCUUUAAAGAAUCUAAGUCUUGAACAAGGGGCUCUGCGCCCUCAUUGUCCCGAGUGGGAUUCAAUUUAUAGGUUGAACUUAAAAUCAAUUGUUCAAUAGUGGAUCAAUAGGACUUAAGGGACAAGGUAUGUAAUCUGAGCGGUGAAACGAUAUUUUGACUCUACCGAGAUUACGAACAACUUGUGACGGAUUAACUUACUGAUUAUGGUUAUAUCAGUUGGACAGAAAUAUAUCUAUAGUGACAGGAAUGCAACUGCAGAACUUUAGUGGAAUGACUCGUUAGUUAAUGAAUGUUGAUUAGCUUUGUCUAAAAGGAUUUUGCUAGUUAACCUCAGAUCGUUAGAGACCAUGAUCUAUAGAUCUAUUAGGUUCCUCUUCUAGCUCAUAUGAAAUUAACUUAGAAUAAUAUGUUGGAACAAUUCGAAUUGUUCGAAUUAAGUAAAGAGAGAGAAAUCGACGAAUAUAUGUGAUAUAACUAUUGGUUAUAAGUUUGAGAUAGAGCUUUAUAUUUAAAUGUGAUUUAAAUGUGAAAAAUAUGAAUACCAAUUCAUAUUUAGAAGCUCAGAAUUGAUGGAAAUGGUUAAAGUUGUAAAAAGUCAAAAUGUUGACUUUUGACUUUGAAAAGUCGAACUUUGACCGGCUUUAUCUUCAAAUGUGAUUUGAAUUUCAGAAAAAUGAAUGUGAAUUCAUGCAAAAUGUUGACUUUUGACUUUGAAGAAUUGUCAAAUGACCAUUUUACCCUAUGAUUAAAGUUAGUGGAAAAAUCCAAUAUUUUAUUGGAUAAUCCCACUAACUCUUAGUGGAAGCUCAUGGUGAGGACACCAAGCCCACCAAGAAAAUUGGAAUGGUGUCGAAUUCCACUAAUUGUAAGUGGAAAGUGAGGUGUUGCAUUUGGAAGAACUAAUUACAUACAAUAGUUGCAUGCAAUUAGGUCAUUUUUCUAAUUUUUGAAGACUUUUGAAAUUUUGGUUAUUUUUAUUUUUUUACAAAAUAUACCAAUGUAAUUUCUCUCCUAAAAUCUCAAACCCUAAAUAAUUUACCUCCAAUUUUCAAUCUCUCUCUCUCUUUAUUUUCUUCACUGAUCGGGUCCCACAACCUAGUUCUUAGUCUAGAGAAUAGCGGGUCAACACUAAAAUUGAUCCCGAUGGUCCCGGUUCGAGUUUGUGUGGAGAUUAUUGAGGAAUCGAGAAAUCUUCAAAGAUAAGUUUUCUUUAAUCCUAAUUUAGUUUAAUUAGGGUAAUUAUAAGCAUGUUAAAUUCUAAAGAGUUCAGAUGCAAUUAGAGUAUUUUUCGAUAUUUUUUCUAUUGCAUUUAUAUGCUUUCCAUUAGUCAUUUCUUUUCACUUUACUUUUCUAUUUCACUUUGCAUGCUCUCCGAGAGAGAAGAGGAAAUAAGGUUUCAAUGGAAGAUGAAGAGAAAAGAAGUGUAGAUAGGUGAAGAUUAUAGUGGUUCAACAAAUUGCUUACAUCCACUCUUGUAAGAAGAUAGAGAGAUUUUAUUUAGUAAGAAGAUGAUUCAAGACAAGAAUGAACAGAUUAGUUUCUUCUUUCUUGUUCUCCAUGUAUUUAUUCUAUGUUUCUUCUUUUAAGCUACAAGAUUUAGAUAUGUUAUUUAGUUAUUUUAUUGAAACAUAAUAACUUCCUUUUCUAACAAAAAAAAAAUAUAUAUAGUUGUAACUAAUUUCAUUUGUUUUCUUUACCAAGUGAAGAGGUUCAAGCAUUUUGCAAAAGAUAGAAUCACAAAAAAAACUUUUGGCAUUUGAUUAGAUUUAAUUAUUUCUUUAUGGGUAUAUGUUAAUAGAGUGUUUUGUAAUUAUAAACUUAGUAUUAUCUUUUUGGAUCAGGACCUCCUUUAAGUGGUUGGGGUGAUGAUUUUAUGUGAGUAUUCUUUUAUAUGCCUUACUAGAUCGUUUUGUAUUGUUACAAAAUGAAGCAGUUUAUAGACUUCUAAGAUAGUUUAUGGUUUAAUUUUUUUAUAAGCUUGGUUUAUGAUCCUUUUGUUAUUAACGUUUAUUGUCUCAUCACACUAAAGUUUUUUGCUUUAUUGUACUUUUAAGAUAUUUUGGUGGCCUUUGUUUCUUUUACUUACUUUGAUGUAAGACUUUUUAGAUUUUGGGUGCAAGUAUGGAUAGGAACCUCAUUACCUAGAUCAUCUUUCAACGUGCAUUGGUAAGGAUUUCAACUCAUAGGAUGUGUAAAGUUAUAUGUUAUCAGAUUAAGAGCAACUAUGUUAUCAUUUGCAUGUUGCUCGAAUGUCGUUAUGUGCAUGUUAAGUUGGAUCCUAACACUAUUUUACCUUGGCUAUCUUUCAAAAGUUCAUUUGUGUGCUUAUUAAGAAAGAUGAAAUCUGCUUGGCAUAUACUUAAUGAAUGUUAACUAAUGUAAAUUUUCGACAAAUUUAUAGGUAUUCAAAGAAUCCGUGGA